rnacentral:misc_RNA from 1 species
GGCCCAACGGGCUUACGGAUGACUGCACCAAAUAUUCACCAAUUAAUCAAAUGGCCAAAGGACAAUAUUGUGAUAGGGAAUUAAAAUGAUUGAGACUUGCAGCUCAAAAAAUUUAUGCUUGCUCUCUAAAAAUCUAAACUCACCCUCGCUAACUUGCAUAAAAUAACCAAAAACUUAGGACUUAAGACUCUUAAUUCUUUAAUAGGACAGGAUUCAAAAAUUCAUUAUUUAUAGAGAGAGGAGAAAAUUACCGAUCUUUAUAGUCCAAUUUCAAUUUUAAGGGCAACUGCUGUCUAAACCUAACUAAUUUUACAUGCAUUAUCAAUCCAGCAUAGCAAGAAAUCACGACAUGACAUGUUUCCUGGUGACUCCUGAAGUAAGAAUGAAGCUCAAAAUUAUAGCACUUAGGAAUUUACUUUGAUAAAGCAUCAAGCAAAGUGUCUGUCCAGGAAUCGCCCAAAUGUCUUUGCUUCUGUUCUGACUGUCUGGAAAAUUAAUUGAUUUUAUGACUCAAAUUUAAAAAUCAACCCAUUUAACCUAUUUCUAAGCAAAUUAAUCACAGAUCGCAUUUUCAUUUUACCAUCCUUAAUCUAUGAACUUUGAAAUGAAAAUUUUAUCCAUACAGGGUUAAAAAAAGCCAAAAAGAAAAUGUUAUAACAAACAGAAAAUCACGGAACAAACUCCCAAAGAGCAAAGAUUCAAAAGCUUACCAGUGCCCUUUUCAAUCCAAGGCGACACCAAAAUGGUGGGAACCCGGACACCCAACCGGUCAAACCGGAAAUAAAACGGGUCAGGCCCGAUGAUCCCAUCCGGAUUCGGCACUCCAGAGACAGGGGUCGGCACGUGAUCAUAAAAUCCACCAUGCUCGUCAUAAGUAAUCAAAAGCGCCAUUUCUUUCCACUGCGGGCUGGCCCUCAGCGUCUCGUACACCUCCUUCACGAACUUCUGUCCGAGCGACACGUCAUGCGACGGAUGGUCAUCAUUUGCCGGAAAAAGCUCCACGUCAAAGUACCGCUGCUCCACCACCACAUAAUUCGGCAACUUCCCUAACCUCGCAUGCCGUUUGAACUUCAAUUCAUACUUGUGGAAUUUCAAUAUGUGCUUCAAUUUUCUCAGGGACUUGUAGAAGAGAGUGGCAGGGAUAUUCUGGUAAUAAAUGCCGAAGGUAAGGCCAUUUUCGUCCAGAGAGUCAAAGAUCGUCUUUUGAGGGAACCCAUGGAUAAGGUCUUUGCGCACAUUGCUUGUCGCUCCAUGAGAGGUCGCCGAGUGGACAUAGAACCGGUUCGGUUGAGUUGACGCUGGCACCGACGCGAACCACCGGUCGAAAACAGCGAACUCGUUUGCCAACGCUGUGUAAACCGGUAACCGACUCGGUUUGAACCCGCUCAUGACGGUUCUCGACUUGUUCUCGGUCAUGCUCUCCGCUUGUUGUGCGAACCCGUUCAUUGGAGCCGGUUUGGCGGAGGUUUCGUUCGAGCCGAAUAUCUGUUCUCGGAUCGCUUGGAAGGAGUGGCCUGGGUCCCAGUCAACGAAAAAAGCAUCGUCGGAGACGAAGAUUUCGGGUGAUUUUGGGUCGGAGGCAGAGAUACAGUUGGAUUCGGUUCCGGUUAGACCAUCGAUAUCGGGUCGGGUAGAUUUGAGCCAGCCGAGAACGUGGUCAAAGGAUCGAUUCUCCAUGACUAGGAUCACCAGGGUUUUGAUGGGUCCUUUGAUUUUGGUUUUGUGCCUUCUCCGUAAAUUCUCAAAGUCUAGGGACUGCGAAGAAACUAUUAAGUACAAAAAUAACAAAAAGGUAAGAGGCAUCCGCCGGCAAGCCAUUUCCGGCCACCGGAAACAGAAAUUACAACCUCUCUUUCUUUCUCUCGCUAUAUCUCUUCUUUUUAAUCUGUAAGAAAGUAUAUUUGUAUGGCAAGAGAGGCAAGCAAGUUUUGUUCUGGAAGAAGAACUGAAGAAGAGGGUAUAUACCUUUGAGGCAGAAUCAUUCGUGUCUGAAGGAUAAUUAUUUAUCUUUGCUUUUAAAUUAAGGUUUAAUUGUUAAAAAAAAUAAAUAAAAUUAAGGUUUAAAUUAUAUUAGGAGUUGAGCCAAGGUGACGUGACAGAGUUGGGUUCAUACUUUCUGGCGGACUUUCCUAGACGGAUUUUACCAGUAAACGGCUAUAAGAAUUAAGCAAUGAGAUGUAAAAUGGGGUUAGGUUUCCACUAGUACAGUGUUUGAAUGGUGGAGGUUGUUGAAAUUUCCAAGUCAUUCAAAAUCUGGUGACCAUGCAUACCAUAUUUUGAUUUUUAUAAUUCAUUAAAAUGAAAUUAAUUGGUGAGCCAUGUAAGUAGGCAAACCACUGCCUGGAGAGUAUUGUCAUGCAAAUCAUAUACAAUGCAAGGAGAUAAUAGUCAGCGUAGAGAUUUUAAAGUUGGC